rnacentral:rRNA from 1 species
GACGAACGCUGGCGGCGCGCUUAACACAUGCAAGUCGAACGGAAAGGCCUGCUUUCCCUUGUGGAUUGCGGGUACUCGAGUGGCGAACGGGUGAGUAACACGUGAGUGAUCUGCCCCCAACUUGGGUAUAAGCCUGGGAAACUGGGUCUAAUUCCCGAUAGGACUGCAGGGUGGUGCCUGUGGUGGAAAACGAUUUUCUAGUGGUUGGGGAUGAGCUCGCGGCCUAUCAGCUUGUUGGUGGGGUAAUGGCCUACCAAGGCGGCGACGGGUAGCCGGCCUGAGAGGGUGGACGGCGACAUUGAGACUGAGAUACGGCCCAGACUCCUACGGGAGGCAGCAGUGGGGAAUAGUGCACAAUGGGCGGAAGCCUGAUGCAGCGACGCCGCGUGGGGGAUGACGGGCUUCGGGUGGUAAACUCCUUUCGACCGCGAGGAAGCCACCUGGUUGGAAGGGUGGUGACGGUAGUGGUAGAAGAAGCACCGGCUAACUACGUG